CCUACGGGUGGCAGCAGUGGGGAAUAUUGGUCAAUGGAGGAAACUCUGAACCAGCAACGCCGCGUGAAUGAUGAAGGUCUUCGGAUUGUAAAGUUCUUUUCUAAGGGAAGAAGAAAGUGACGGUACCUGACUAAGAAGCCCCGGCUAACUACGUGCCAGCAGCCGCGGUAAUACGUAGGGGGCAAGCGUUAUCCGGAUUUACUGGGUGUAAAGGGAGCGUAGACGGCGAUGCAAGUCUGAAGUGAAAGGCGGGGGCCCAACCCCCGGACUGCUUUGGAAACUGUAUGGCUGGAGUGCAGGAGAGGUAAGUGGAAUUCCUAGUGUAGCGGUGAAAUGCGUAGAUAUUAGGAGGAACACCAGUGGCGAAGGCGGCUUACUGGACUGUAACUGACGUUGAGGCUCGAAAGCGUGGGGAGCAAACAGGAUUAGAUACCCGGGUAGUC
rnacentral:rRNA from 1 species